rnacentral:rRNA from 1 species
GACGAACGCUGGCGGCGUGCUUAACACAUGCAAGUCGAACGGGAUUUUUGUGGUAAUUCUUUCGGUAAUGGAAAUGCAGGUAAGGUGGCGAACGGGAGAUUAACACGUGAGCAACCUACCUUCCACAGGGGGAUAGCCGUUCGAAACGACGAUUAAUACAGCAUGAGACCACAGAUCCGCAUGAUAUAUGUGUGAAAGAUUUAUCGGGGUAAGACGAGCUGGCGUCUGAUUGGCUAGCUGGAAGGGUAAAGGCCUACCAAAGCGACGUUCAGUAGACGGUAUGAGAGGAUGAACGGACACACUGGAACUGAGACACGGUCCAAAAUCCUACGGGAGGCAGCAGUGGGGGAUACUGCAAAGUGGGGGGAGUCAUGAUGGAGUGACGACGCGUGAGCGAAGAAGGUUUUCGAAUAGUAAAGUUAUGUCCUAUGAGAAGAUAAUGACGGUACCAAAGGAGGAAGCCCCGGCUAAAUACGUG